rnacentral:rRNA from 1 species
CAACGGGGGGUGAAACAAUCACGCGCACUUCGGUAGGUGUGCUCGGCGAACACCGCUCUCUGUCUCUCAGUUCUUUCCGCCCCGGGCAAACAGGGCUCUACCGCUGCAGCAGGGGCGGCGGCGGGGCGCACACGCAGUGGCCGCCGUUGCCCAAGUAUCCGAGCACCGAGCAGUUCGACGAGGAGAGGGCGCCGAUGCGGCAGGUGCGGUGGCAGGCGCUGGGUGCACUAGGCUUCUUGCGCAAGGACUGCGUCGACCUGCCUCGGGGCCGCUUAGACGCCGACAAGUUCCGCCUGUACGAGCUGAUGCUCUGCCACCGCCGGCGCAAGCGGCCGACGCUCCCGCACAAGGUACAGCGGUGAGGUCACGGGCUGGUUUUCUACCAACUAGGUGUCUUUCUCUACUACCUUGGACGACAGUUCCCGUGGUACUUACACGAGUUCCGAACGAGUCGAUACGUUCAAGUAUUUGAGUAGCACCAGAGCAGGUAGCGGUGAUUAACGAAGUUGGGCCUAACCGGAGCUCUAUUUUAGUUUCUACUCUGGACGACCAGUCUGUUCCUCAAAACGUCUGUCUGACUCUUGACCAUAAGAGAACGUUUCUGACUUCGGCUCCUCUACCGGGACCUUAUGCCUCUCUUCUUGCCCGACGUGCAGCAGUGUAAAACGGGACCAGACCAAAAGCCGGGAGACAACGUCGUACACCGCCAGUUGUGGUCGUCGUUCCAGGAGCAGAUGUACUAUUUUCCUCCGGGGCUGUGCUACUUGUUGUUCAAGAAAGGGUAUCAUCUGCAAGCACUAUAGCGGCUGCGUAACGAGGACAACAUGUUGUUCCGUCCCGGUAGACUCUCUAUGUAUACGAGUGACCUGGUUUACCUGGAUUUCCUAAACGACCGUUAGUACUUCUUGUACAUGGGAUCGAUGUGAAUACAUCUGUUCUACCAACUACACCUAAAAUUGCAACCUCAGUGAAGCCUUUUCGACUUCUUAAAUCCCACCUUUGGUUCCUUCAACCUCCUCUGUGAGCGCCUAUCAUAGCUUAGGAUAUUUUUUCGUCCCGAAGAACCCCAAAGUCUACUGCUUGGUACGGCCGAAGGUAAGUAGAUGGCUUACGGCGGAUAGGUCCUUACUCUUACUAGGGUAAUAGCACUGUAACUAAGACGUAAACCGGACUUUGUAGCACAUUACACAAAGCGUUCUUAUUCGUUCUCAAUCCAGAGAUAAAGAGCUGAUGAGGUGAACAGGUAAGUUCUACCUACGUUUACGUUUAUAACACAUAAACACGAGUGAAAGCAGUUCUCUUUCGCCUGAGGCCUCUUCAUGAGAGUUUCGUCACUGAGGUCUAAAUACUUGUAUGGCAGACCAGUUUUACGACUAUACUUUCAGGUCAUUAC